ACAGAGGAUGGAAAUUGGUAAAACAAUGUGUAGUUGACUUGGCCAUAGGAGAAAGGUAAGUUAAGAAAAUGUAUCAGAUUGAUCUUAUAAUAAAUGUUUGUAUGUAUUCAUAAAUUUAUGUAUGUAUUUUACAUGUACAUGUAAUUGUGUAUUUAUAUGAUUUGCUAUAUAUGUGUACUUUUGGAAGUGUAGGAUGGUGGCCUGGUGUUAAUUUUUGUUUAGUUUCUUAUACGUCUGCACGUUUGGUAUCUUUUCGAAUAAUUUAUUCGGCCCUUAAAAGUGCGUUUCGUGGUGUUCAUGUGAAAGGAGGUCAUUUUCUGUCUUGACGUAUCAUGUCGGUAGUGUAUGUGAUCCUCUGGAUUGCCUCCCUUUGACUGCGGGGGGAUCAGUUUGUAGUUUGGUUGUUUCUAUAUUGUAGCUACACAAAGGUAUGUGUUUUCCCUCUUUUUGCUCUUUGUAGUUCCAUCAGGGUGACUCUCUGCAACUCAUUUUCUACUGCUUUCCAGUUUUUGUACUUAGAGUUACUUCCCUUAGACUAGCUAACCAAAUAUGUAGAAUUUCAACAUGAUAUAAUCUUAAUUAUUGUGACCUUAGGCUUCUGAUUUUGUUUUCUUGAAUUAUUGGAAUGGCAUUACUGCAUGUAUCACAUUUGACUUUUCUAAUAUUUACAUGUAAUUACAUGUAAAAUUGUAAAACAUGUAUUCCACCCUUGACGGAUCCAUUUUUUAAACAUUCGGCCAUGUAGAAGAUAUGUAAUUUGGUAAUUUUUCAGAAAACUUGAAAAAUAUUGCUGUUUUCUUUAUGAUUUAUGCUUAAUUUGACUAACUUUAUUGAUUUAUUUUCAUUUAAAGACUAUAGAGGACUUUCAUAUUUCAGCUUCCUGGACCCGGGAGAGCUUGGUAUCUGAUCGGCGGGGGGCAUUUUCUCUAUAUAAGAAGAAGAUGGAGACUCGCUACCCACCCGAUAUAUUUUGUCGGACAGAUUUCUGUACAUUGCAGUGACAACUGUAUCCAGAUUUCAUCACAGGAAUGAAAGUUUUUCACUCUUUGGAAAAGCACCUGCAGCAGGGAGGGGACAUUCAUUAAGAUGGCCACAGAUUCCAAGACACUGAAGUGACAGGCCUCAAAUUUCAUACAUGUAUAUUGCUUCCUGGACCCGGGAGAGCUUGGUAUCUGAUCGGCGGGGGGCAUUUUCUCUAUAUAAGAAGAAGAUGGAGACUCGCUACCCACCCGAUAUAUUUUGUCGGACAGAUUUCUGUACAUUGCAGUGACAACUGUAUCCAGAUUUCAUCACAGGAAUGAAAGUUUUUCACUCUUUGGAAAAGCACCUGCAGCAGGGAGGGGACAUUCAUUAAGAUGGCCACAGAUUCCAAGACACUGAAGUGACAGGCCUCAAAUUUCAUACAUGUAUAUUGGUAAGUAUAAGGUCUUUGAAAAUUACAAAAUUGACUAAUUCUGGGAUAGGUAAAUAUGUAAGUAUAGGAAAAAGAGCACCAAAGACCCAGAUUUUGACAUCAUUUCCUGGUUGAACAAGAUGAAGCAGAGUAAUAAAUGGGUAGGCUUUACCUGAUUGGCUGAAUUGAGGUAUGUAAAUAUUUUCAUUUUAAAGUAAAAAUAUUAAUGUUUGAAAUAAAUGAUGGAAUGUGGGAAUAUUACAAAAAUUCUAGAAAUACCAGGGGAGAUUGUAGGAGUGGGGAUUGAUAUUUUUGGCAGGGUGUCAUUUACUGCCGAUCUCUGUAAGUUCUAAAUAACUGCAAAUUUGACCUAUAAACGCCGCGGAACGGUAUAUUUUUUUUCGUGUUUUUAAUAAGUGCUUAGAACGAACUUUCAAAUAAUACCAGUGAUUUGUUUGAACGGGAAUUAGUAAAUUACUUGGAGGGCAAAAGGUUUGUA